rnacentral:rRNA from 1 species
AUUGAACGCUGGCGGCAGGCCUAACACAUGCAAGUCGAACGCGUGGCGGACGGGUGAGUAAAGUCUGGGAAACUGUCCGUUAGAGGGGGGUAACUAUUCGAAACGGUAGAUAAUAUCCCAUACCAUCUCAUAUGUCCACAUGGGAUUAGCUAGUAGGGGGGGUAAAGGCUCACCUAGGCGACGAUCCCUAGCUGGUCUGAGAGGAUGACCAGCCACACUGGAACUGAGACACGGUCCAGACUCCUAAGGGAGGCAGCAGUGGGGAAUAUUGCACAAUGGGCGCAAGCCUGAUGCAGCCAUGCCGCGUGUAUGAAGAAGGCCUUCGGGUUGUAAAGUACUUUCAGCGGGGAGGCGUUACCCGCAGAAGAAGCACCGGCUAACUCCGUGCCAGCCGCCGCGGUAAUUC